CCCCGGACGCCCCGUCGCAGCCCGCCCUCCCCGGACCCCCGCGCCGCCGUGCCGCCACCGGGAUCCAACCGCCGACGAGCGGCUCUCCACGACCCCCCGCCCAGUUGUGGUCGUCGCCAGAUGCCUCGCUGCUGCCGAACGCCGUCUUCCUUCCGGCAACCACGCACCGUCCGAGCGCCGCCAUGCCUUCUCGCACCAGUGCGUCGCCCCGGUCUCCUCCGCCAUGCCCCUGCAGGAAGCUGGUGCCGCUGCAAGAAGUUCAAAUGUCACUGUAGCGGCCGGACGGAUUUGACACACUGUGCCUCCACGGUGCUCCCUCCCACAAAGAGGCGGUUCACGGUUGCUAGACGAUGAAUUAACCUCGCCUCUGCUGCUCCAUUUGGAUGGCAUGCCACACCCUUUCUUUUGGAGACUUCAUAUUCUAAUUUUCUUUAGGGGAAAUUGAUGUGUUGUGUUGCUCUCUGCUUGAUGUGCUAAUGACGGACGUGAGUUCGUCGCUAUCUCUGAAUCUCAGUGUGUUGUUUGCAUCGCCUAUUGCUCCCGGCGAGCUUGUCCGUCGUCGUCGUCAGACUUUCUUGCGCAUCGCAAGAGCUAUAAACACAGUUCUGUUUGUUCCAUUUGUACAACUGAACUUGUUGCCUCAGCUCUACUCGUUCAAGCGACGGGUAACUCUGAUGUUUGUUUCUACAAUAUUGUUUGCAAGUCAGUAUUGUUGGUAUGGAUGCUUCUCUGUUGUUCAUCUUAGUAUGUUAAAGAAGAAUCAUGAAUGAUUGGGUCUACAUCUGCAUAAAAGAGAUGAUUCGUUAAUUAAUUUCAUACGUAUGUUGUUAAAAAGGAAUUAACCGUGUAGAAUGUGAAAAACUGAUAUUUGAGUUGUACUUUUUCCGCUGAAUUUUUUCACCAUGUUUCUUGGUUAUCCAGUAAGUGUUCUUCAUUAUUUUCAUCAAUUUCCUAAUGGAUUGAAAAGCUUGCUGCUACUUUCUUCCAGUGUUGUGUAUUGUGCUACUGCUCUCUAAUGUACUAUCUGAAGCUUGUACAGCGUGCCAGAGCAAAAAAUGGGAAGGCACUAAUUUGAAGUUCAGAUAUGAUAAAGAAAGAAGUCGUGCGAUCUCGGAUCUAGUGAUUUUCCACGAGCUAUGGCCUCUUUCCCUGAUGCAUAAACGUGGACGGCCGCCCUCCAACAUACCUCUUUCUCCCGCUGCUCCAGCAAGCAAGCUCCCAGCGUCGCACCUCCAGCCUGCGACCUUCCUUUCUGCCACGUCUCCACCGGUCGUUGGUACCUCCCGGCCAUAUGAAUGGCGUUGCCGAAGUCCACAUUGUACCACACUAGCAGGACGACUCCUACAGGUCGUGCCAAUCGUCUUUCUUCCAGCGUCCAUGGUCGCCAUCGCUGUCAAUAAAGUUGUACUCGAUCCAUGUGUGAUAUGUUUGCAGCACGCGCUUGAUGCAUUCGAUCGCCUCACACAGUGCUCCAGGGAAGUAGCCGGAGGCAGUAGCUAGCUGCGCACUCGCUGAUUUUGGCAUAGCCUAGUGGUUGUUAACCAAGCUAAGCAGGUCAUGUCUCUGUCAGCUAGAAGUACCAGUGUUAGGCGUUACGUAGAGUGAUUUGCUUAUGGGUUUCAGUGAGUUAGAUGUACCAGGAUGGGAGAUGCGAGUGUUCUUUACUUGUGAGUUUAUUAUAAUUGUUGUCACCGUGUCUACAUGGACUACUACUAACACUGUACUGAUACUAUGAUAGACUUCAAAAUAUAUUCAGUUGAUAA